GACAGAGGGUGCAAACGUUGUUCGGAAUUACUGGGCGUAAAGCGCGUGUAGGUGGCGAGGCAAGUCGGGUGUGAAAGCCCUGGGCUCAACCCAGAGCCGCCACCCGAUACUGCUGUGACUUGAGUUCGGUAGGGGAGCGGGGAAUUCCUGGUGUAGCGGUGAAAUGCGCAGAUAUCAGGAGGAACACCAGUGGCGAAGGCGCCGCUCUGGGCCGAGACUGACGCUGAGGAGCGAAAGCGUGGGUAGCAAACAGG
rnacentral:rRNA from 1 species